UUUCAAGAUUCAAGGAAGUCUUCAAGAGGAAUAUAUAAUUGGACAAUGCUAAGACCUCCCAACACUCUUAAAAAAUACGUUUUGGAGGAAGCACAUAAUGGAAGGAAGCCACCAAGUUCCAAGUGCAGCUGCAACAAGGGAAUUUCAUUCUUAAGAAGUAGAAAACUACGAUUAUGGUCAUGUUCCAAGCUAGGACCCAUUGGAAAAUUUAUUUUUGAAAAAC
rnacentral:sRNA from 1 species